rnacentral:rRNA from 1 species
AUUGAACGCUGGCGGCAUGCCUUACACAUGCAAGUCGAACGGUAACAGGUCUUCGGAUGCUGACGAGUGGCGAACGGGUGAGUAAUACAUCGGAACGUGCCCGAUCGUGGGGGAUAACGAGGCGAAAGCUUUGCUAAUACCGCAUAAGAUCUAUGGAUGAAAGCAGGGGACCGCAAGGCCUUGCGCGAACGGAGCGGCCGAUGGCAGAUUAGGUAGUUGGUGGGGUAAAGGCUUACCAAGCCUACGAUCUGUAGCUGGUCUGAGAGGACGACCAGCCACACUGGGACUGAGACAUGGCCCAGACUCCUACGGGAGGCAGCAGUGGGGAAUUUUGGACAAUGGGCGCAAGCCUGAUCCAGCCAUGCCGCGUGCAGGAUGAAGGCCUUCGGGUUGUAAACUGCUUUUGUACGGAACGAAAAGCCUCUUUCUAUUAAAGGGAGGUCAUGACGGUACCGUAAGAAUAAGCGCCGGCUAACUACGUGCCAGCCGCCGCCGUAACAC